CUGGGUGCGCUCCAGAAGAACUCCCAGUACCAUGCGCGAAGCGGCGACAGGCCGUUUGAGAGUCCGAUGGCGGUUGCGACGAGCCCGGUGUUGACCAGGAAGUAGGUCGCUGUGGUUGCCGCGAGGGGGACGAGCGUAGGACCCGCAACGUCGCCAUGAAGAACGCAG
rnacentral:misc_RNA from 1 species